GCAUAAUAAAAUAAGAUUUUCAAUAAGUUUAAUACAAUAAAUAAAUGUGGGAGUAUAGCGUUCGAGGGCCUUCCAUCUGAUUGUUUUCUACAGUAAUGAGAAAUCCAUCAGACUUUCUUCCUAUAUAUUCUGACAGAACCUGCACCUAUGGCAUGAAACAGCCCUCCCUUUUAACAUGCCAGGGUCACAGGCUUGCACACUCAGGUCCCAAAAGCCCCUCUCCCAAUACUCUAAUGAACACACACAAAGCUUCUACCAUCGGGGUUUAGAAAUAUGCCUUAAAACUCAUCUCAUUUCUCCCAUUCUCUGUGUGUUUCUCUGAAGAGGCUUUUUCUUGACUGAGCCAUAGGUACUAACCUUGUUCCCUCUGCUCUGGUGUCAGGUGCUCAGGCUUGGUAGACUCUGAGCCCCCCACUCCCUCUCCAGCCUUGGUAGACUCUGACCCCCCACUCCCUCUCCAGCCUUGGUAGACUCUGAGCCCCCCACUCCCUCUCCAGCCUUGGUAGACUCUGAGCCCCCACUCCCUCUCUGGGCUCUCUGGCUGCCCCAGUGCUCCUAGCUGGCUGCUUUCAUGUCCCCUUUCUGAGGAAGUCUGCAGAGACAGCGGAGAUGCUUAGGUCUUCUAUUAACGUUAACACAGCAGCCAGCUAUUACAGGACUCUUCUUGUAUCCCUCCUGGGAUUAGUUGUGGGAGGAGACCAAGAAACCAAAAGCAGCCCCCCCCCCCCCCCCAGCACUGCUGCAAAGCAAGUAACUCAAGUAACUCAGACAGGCAGAGGCCACACCCACCGCCUGCUGGCACAGGACACACCCACCGCCUGCUGGCACAGGAUACUGGUCAUUUGUGCUGGAGCUUGGGUAGCCGGGAAUCCAGGCUCAGCUUGGGAUUCAUCACCCACCCUACACACUGCUGCACUUCUCUUGUAAGCUCAGUGAGUUUAGAAGGAAGGAAAUGUGGGGGUGGGGUGGGGCAGCACGUGGGGGACAGCGCACAGCGUGCAAACCAGCAUACAGCAUAGGAUACAACAGAAACCCUAAGGAAAGUUUUUUUCCAUCCAAACAGUCCGACUAUUUCUUAUCAUAACUUUCCUGCUUUUGUUAGAAUUUCUUUCCAGACUGGCAAAGAUUCAGGCAGGGUCCCCUGAUGGUAAAAGUUAGAUUAAAAAAAUAUUUAUUGAUGUUUCUUUUAAAAAUGUUUGGUGACCCCAACUAAUUCAUCCAAAAUGCAAACUGUAAACACAACAAAUAGCAACAUAGUAACAAUCGAGUGGGCAGCAUCCUGAGGACAGACUGAAGGAGAGGGGGAGGGA
rnacentral:lncRNA from 1 species